ensembl:lncRNA
GAGAGUUUUGCAGUUCCAGGCCGGAAGGAGUGUAAUUAUGGGUUUUCUCGACCAAACCCCUCCUGGAAGUCAUGCUACCUUUUGGACCAAAAGUUAAGAUCAUGGUCUGAUGCAAAGGAGCUAUGCCUUCAAAAAGGUGGAACCCUAGCUUCUAUCAAAAACAAUGAACAGUUACAAUAUGCAUAUGAGAUGAUUCCAGACGGAUAUUUCUGGGUUGACGGGAACUAUGUGUCUGGAUUUCCCCAGAAUAACUGGUUGCCGGGUUCAAAGCCAGGUGGGACAAAUGCCGACUGCUUGACAUUGGUGAAAUUCCCUGGUUAGUAUCAGAAACAUAUUCUUGCUUAAAUAACAUUAAGUCAUAAGAGCUGGAGACUCACAAAAACAUUCUUCUCAACAGCGGGAAGAGGCUUUAGUGAUAUUGCCUGUUCCGAAAAAAUUGACUCUGCCUACGCUCUCUGUGAGUCCUAUGCUACCUACUGAAGUGUCCACUCAGAGAAUACAAAGGGAUGUUCUUUUUGUACUAUUGCACACACUAUUUAGACUUUACUUUAAGUGAAAGACACAGAGAAAAUUAUAAGGUAUAUUAUGGCUACCUAGAGCAUACCUACAUUUAUUCAGGUGUGACCUUUUAUUAAAUAGUUUCUUAUUUUGUAAUGGAAUUGUAAUAGUGUUAUGGAAGCUUUUUAAAGGCCCUGUGAAGUCUAAUGUUCUUUGUUUUUUUUGUUUUUUGUAAUAUUUCUACACUAUGAAGUGGAAACAACACACUGAAAUUGUGAC